AGGCUGGGUCUCCAGUUAGUUCUGGGUCAGGAGAGGUAGAGGCUGGGUCUCCGGUUAGGUUCUGGGUCAGGAGAGGUAGAGGCUGGGUCUCCGGUUAGGUUCUGGGUCAGGAGAGGUAGAGGCUGGGCCCUCAACAGGUACCUGUAGCAGGAGAGGUAAGAGGCUAGUCUCAACAGGUACUGUAGCAGGAG